AUACAUACGAUGACAUGAACCCAUUUUAGGUCCAUUGCACUUGGGAUGGGUGCUGGCUUAAGGUCUCCUCAUGUUGGGAGAGCCUUCAUCAUAAUUUGUGAUAGAGGGGGCUGCGCAAGUCGCGGCCCCUG
rnacentral:snRNA from 1 species